UCUGUUAAUAACUUUUCUACCAAACAAUUUCCUCGGAUUUCUAAGUGUAGCACCUUUCCUGAAAGUAAAUCGAUGUAGAGAGGCACUUCAUAGAGGUCAUUUUUUAAUUUCUUAAGAUUUUUCUUAUCAAAUUUGAAAGACCGAAAAAAACAAGAAAAUAUAAGUAAUGUAGGUAUCAAUUAAAAUAUAUUACGGCCUUUUUUUUUCUGUGCACAACUCUUCUACCA